rnacentral:tRNA from 1 species
GUUCUAAUAAUUUAAAUAAAAUAUUGGUCUUGUAAACCAAAAAUAAGUUAACCUUUUAGAGCU